UGGGGAAUCUUGGACAAUGGGCGCAAGCCUGAUCCAGCCAUGCCGCGUGGGUGAUGAAGGCCCUAGGGUUGUAAAGCCCUUUCGGCGGGGAAGAUAAUGACGGUACCCGCAGAAGAAGCCCCGGCUAACUUCGUGCCAGCAGCCGCGGUAAUACGAAGGGGGCUAGCGUUGCUCGGAAUCACUGGGCGUAAAGCGCACGUAGGCGGCUUCUUAAGUCAGGGGUGAAAUCCUGGAGCUCAACUCCAGAACUGCCUUUGAUACUGAGAGGCUUGAGUCCGGAAGAGGUGAGUGGAACUGCGAGUGUAGAGGUGAAAUUCGUAGAUAUUCGCAAGAACACCAGUGGCGAAGGCGGCUCACUGGUCCGGUACUGACGCUGAGGUGCGAAAGCGUGGGGAGCAAACAGGAUUAGAUACCCCUGUAGUCC
rnacentral:rRNA from 1 species